UACGUAGGGUGCAAGCGUUGUCCGGAAUGAUUGGGCGUAAAGCGUCCGCAGGUGGCAAUGUAAGUCUGCUGUCAAAGCGUCUGGCUCAACCAGAUAAAGGCAGUGGAAACUACAUAGCUAGAGUAAGGUAGGGGUAGAGGGAAUUCCUGGUGUAGCGGUGAAAUGCGUAGAGAUCGGGAAGAACACCGGUGGCGAAAGCGCUCUGCUGGACCUUAACUGACACUGAGGGACGAAAGCUAGGGGAGCGAACAGG
rnacentral:rRNA from 1 species